ACAGAGUAAACAACGCGUUAUUUAAGACGUCCGUUUUACUGGAACAGAGCGAGGUACUACAUCAUCCAACUUCUAUCAAGUCGAGGUGCUUGUGGUUUUAUAAUCAGUGAAAGAUUUGGAAGACUUCACGCACCGGAUGAAAAGCAGUUUGAGCUCCGUGAAAUAUAUUGAAAAGACAACAGACUCCUAUGUUGGCUUCAUGUUUCGAACAUUUGGUGUGUGUAAACCAAGAACAUUGAAAUAUCAAUUGAAACAAGCGAGAAGAUGCGUAAAGGCCUACUUUAUAGGCGAUGUUGUCAAAUGAAUGAUGCAAGGGCGAUUUUAAGGAUACAAACGAGGAAGGAGAAAAAGGCGAACGUUUUUUAUGAUUAAUAAAACUGGGAUUAAAACAUUGUGGCAAAACCUUUUCCUGUUUAAUACAUUUUUCUUUCCUUUUGUUAAUGCCUGGGUGGCUCAUGGUUAGUUUGCUAGACUCCAGAUUGAGCGGUCCGGGUUCAAGCCCUGGCCGGGGACAUUGUGUUGUGUUCUUCGGCAAGACACUACUCUCACACUGCCUCUCUCUGCCCAGGUGUAUAAAUUUGCAUCCGAAUUUAAUGCUGGGGACAACGCUGCGAUGGAUUAGAGUCCCGUUCAGGGUAGCCUGCGUCGAAGACGGAAAUUUAAACGCGGUUGGUAGCGUCUACGACACAGGCUAGUCCAGGGGGAGUAGAAGUAUACCAAGUCGUUUCGUGAUAUGAUAAGCUCGGGUCUGAUCGAUCACUUGGCUCGUAGCAUACGUAGACUCUUUUUUCCUGCACUAUUGCCCUCCGAAUAGUAGCAAACCCGUUGAUGACGUUGAACUACAGAGAUUAUUAGGGAGAGAUUGUUAGUUCCUGUUUGCGUGCGAAAAUUCGGACUCGAGCAAAAACCAAUCAGAAACGCUACGUGGAUGAGCGUAACCAGUGUGGAAUGGGCCAUCAGGUAGCUUGCAAAGGAGCCGGCGGAGGAGAUAUCAUUAAAGUGAAAUGACAAUAGCAUUUGAAAUUAAAGACUGCCUGCAUUAACCUCAGUUGCAAGCUACUUGUACUUCCUCGUACUUCAAUUUGCCAAAAAAGGUAAAUAUGAAAUUAUUUGUUUUGAAAUUAACCACGGUGUCUACACCUCUUCCGGGACCUACUCCAUGAAUGUUUCAGCUUAUUAAACGGAGAGACCCUGGGCUCGAACAUGUUCUUACAUGAAAUACCUUAAGGAAGUGCUUGUAAUGGCGGAUUAUCAUGGGGGUUGACUUACGUCCUUACGGAAAGCUGCCCGCCUUGGCAGUGUGGUGUUUCUUUGGGACGUGCUUUUAUUCCUUUAUAGCAUAUCAAAUGUUUAAUGAGAGAGGAAAGAAGAAUCGGAGACAUAUCCGUGCUAUGCUUGGAGUUGAGGCUCCUGAACUUUCUGCGGAAGACGAGGAAUGGCAGACCCUUAUAAAUGAAACCACCUAUAGCAAAACAGAAAGCAUAAAAAGAAACAGCAGAUGACAAUAUGGAGUCUUGUCUUCCUCUCAAUCAUGUUGCAGGAGCCAUUUAAUCUAUGAAUGUGUAUGACUGAUAGCGGCAAUGUUGAAAAAACUCUAUUGUUGAAAGAUUUUCUCAACUCUGCAUCAUACAUUUUUAAUGUCCAGCUUGAAAAAAAAAUUGUUCAGCUAAAGCAAGAUGCUUCUGUAAAGAUAAUAGUUUUCCUCAUUCUCACAACCUAUAUUUUGAAAGUGGUUGUAAAAAGGUUGAGAGAAAUUAGGGAUUCAUCAGUCUCCAACAGGAUGGUGAAAGUAUUAAACAAUUUUCCCUCAGCCAUUUAAUUAAGAGGUGGUAUCUCCAGUAACUUCAGGCUAUGGGUUAGAAACAGGUCAUUCUGAGAGAAACAAGGUAUAGUGUUAAGGAAUUUAACACAAUUUCUCCCCCUCCCAGGGGGGGACUCCUAUCUAAAAAUCAGGCCUGCGUGUCAGACAUUUUGAAAAGAACCUCCAAGAGUUACCAAGGUCCUGUUUUGUGGGCAUGGCUUGAAUUUUUUUUCACCCUAAGAGGAACCGAUGAGACAUUAAAAAUCCAUUGAUUGUCAAA